GAAAGAUGAAAAGAACUUUGAAAAGAGAGUUAAAUAGUACGUGAAAUUGUUGAAAGGGAAACGAUUGAAGCCAGUCGUACUUAUGGGUAAUCAGCCUUUUGGGUGUGAUUUUGUAGAGUGUGAGGAGUUAAACGCCUUCAUGCCUGCAUAUUCGUGCACUUUGGGUGUACUUGCCCGUGUGUAAGUUAACAUCAAUUUUGGUGGUCAUAAAAUGACUGGAGGAAUGUAGCUUCGAUCUUGUAUUGAAGUGUUAUA
rnacentral:rRNA from 1 species